CGCUUGGUGUGCAACUUCGGGUUGUAUAGCGAGGCGGCCUUAAAUAAGAAAGGU
rfam:Glaciecola punicea DSM 14233 = ACAM 611 DNA, contig: CTG031.